rnacentral:tRNA from 1 species
GGUCCCAUCGUCUAGUGGUCAGGACAACAGGUUUUCAUCCUGUAAACGGGAGUUCGAUUCUCCCUGGGAUCACCA